rnacentral:rRNA from 1 species
AUUGAACGCUGGCGGCAGGCCUAACACAUGCAAGUCGAACGAGUGGCGGACGGGUGAGUAAUGGAUGGGAAACUGCCUGAUGGAGGGGGAUAACUACUGGAAACGGUAGCUAAUACCGCAUACAAUAAGAUGUGCCCAGAUGGGCUGAGCUAGUUGGUGGGGUAACGGCUCACCAAGGCGACGAUCCCGAGCUGGUAUGAGAGGAUGACCAGCCACGCUGGAACUGAGACACGGUCCAGACUCCUACGGGAGGCAGCAGUGGGGAAUAUUGCACAAUGGGCGCAAGCCGGAUGCAGCCAUGCCGCGUGUAUGAAGAAGGCCUUCGGGGUGUAAAGUCCUUUCAGCGGGGAGGCGUUACCCGCAGAAGAAGCACCGGCUAACUCCGUGCCAGCAGCCGCGGUAAUAC